CCUACGGGGGGCUGCAGUGGGGAAUAUUGCACAAUGGGCGCAAGCCUGAUGCAGCCAUGCCGCGUGUGUGAAGAAGGCCUUCGGGUUGUAAAGCACUUUCAGCGGGGAGGAAGGCGUUAAGGUUAAUAACCUUGUCGAUUGACGUUACCCGCAGAAGAAGCACCGGCUAACUCCGUGCCAGCAGCCGCGGUAAUACGGAGGGUGCAAGCGUUAAUCGGAAUUACUGGGCGUAAAGCGCACGCAGGCGGUCUGUCAAGUCGGAUGUGAAAUCCCCGGGCUCAACCUGGGAACUGCAUUCGAAACUGGCAGGCUAGAGUCUUGUAGAAGGGGGUAGAAUUCCAGGUGUAGCGGUGAAAUGCGUAGAGAUCUGGAGGAAUACCGGUGGCGAAGGCGGCCCCCUGGACAAAGACUGACGCUCAGGUGCGAAAGCGUGGGGAGCAAACAGGAUUAGAUACCCCGGUAGUC
rnacentral:rRNA from 1 species